AGAGACACCUAUUCUCAUCCGAUCGCCGAAGCUAAGCAACGUUGAGCCUGGUCAGUACCUAGAUGGGUGAACACUUAGGAAUACUAGGUGU